rnacentral:rRNA from 1 species
GACGAACGCUGGCGGCGUGCCUAAUACAUGCAAGUGGGACGCAAGGAAACACACUGUGCUUGCACACCGUGUUUUCUUGAGUCGCGAACGGGUGAGUAACGCGUAGGUAACCUGCCUAUUAGCGGGGGAUAACUAUUGGAAACGAUAGCUAAUACCGCAUAAUAUUAAUUAUUGCAUGAUAAUUGAUUGAAAGAUGCAAGCGCAUCACUAGUAGAUGGACCUGCGUUGUAUUAGCUAGUUGGUAAGGUAAGAGCUUACCAAGGCGACGAUACAUAGCCGACCUGAGAGGGUGAUCGGCCACACUGGGACUGAGACACGGCCCAGACUCCUACGGGAGGCAGCAGUAGGGAAUUUUCGGCAAUGGACGAAAGUCUGACCGAGCAACGCCGCGUGAGUGAAGAAGGUUUUCGGAUCGUAAAGCUCUGUUGUAAGUCAAGAACGUGUGUGAGAGUGGAAAGUUCACACAGUGACGGUAGCUUACCAGAAAGGGACGGCUAACUACGUG